UAACAAGAAAAAUGGAAUGAUAAUUAAUACAGACAGCUACUUGAUUGGAUCAUUUAUACACUGUAAGCCCUCGGUUGCUGUGUGACAUGGACCAUUCCAGCCAGCAGAAUGGGAUAGAGGCACUAACAUAAUAGUCUUUAACCUCAUCUGACACUAAGUAAGUACUUUUUAUCAAGUAAUAAUGCCAAAUUGCAAAUGUCAAGUCAAUAGACGUUACAUUUCUGAAUAUAUAUCUGAUACACUGUAUAAGCAAGCAGGAUAUUAAAUGGAGUAAAAUGUAACCGGGUCUUCUCCGCUCAUCUAAAAUCAGCCUAUUAGACUUAAAUUCCCAGCACAAUGCAAUAUCAGUGUAUUUAUGACCUUAUAAGCGCUGAAUUA